CCAGGGCGACCUUCAUUCCCACAAGAAGGACUCCGCCUUGGUCCCCUUGGGUGAAAGCUGCCGCUGCUGAGCGCCUCUGCGGCCCGAGACAAGAUCCUGCUAUGUUGCCCAGGCUGAUCUUGAACUCCUGGCCUCAAGCCAUCCUCCUACCUUGUCCUCACAAAGCAAUGGAAUUACAGCCAAGGCACAACUCCCUCUGACUCCUCCCGAGUGUGAGCCCGUUCCAUCUGCAGCCAACACUUCUGGAAAAAGAGAAGAGUGGGGAGAAACACCAUCUCAUGGUUGGCAUGUGGUGUGAUGAGCCAAGUGAUGGCCCUGCCCACUGGGUCCUGCACUUGCUUCAGGGCUGAGAGGAGCAUUUCUUCUCCCCAAGAAAACAUGUCCAGUGAUUGACCUCAGCCACUGCAUCCUGGGCUGACCGUGGGAUUAGGACUACAAAGAAAAUCUGAUCAAGGGGUUAUGACUCUUAGGCAAAAAUAAAAAUUCUAUUUUAUUGUUUUUAAAUACAGACAUUUUAUUAAGAAGUUAAACAUGCUGUAAAUUUCAGUCUCACUAAUGGAUAUUAGAGAUUUUUAGUUAUUAAAGUACUCAUGAGA